UUUUUCUGGAUGGAGAUUAAAUUCAAGUCAACCACUUUGCUAAAAGUCAACCAGUGCAUGUAUACCACAUAUAUGUAUACCACUUGCAUUUUGUCACGUGUCAUGGAGAUCACAGACAAUGAAAGCUUAUAGGAAGUAUGAUCUAAUAUAUUAUUGUGAUCAAGGGAUUCCGAGGCUCAUACGGAUAGAGGACUCAUCCC
rnacentral:lncRNA from 1 species